rnacentral:rRNA from 1 species
GAUGAACGCUGGCGGCGUGCUUAACACAUGCAAGUCGAACGGUGAACACGGAGCUUGCUCUGUGGGAUCAGUGGCGAACGGGUGAGUAACACGUGAGCAACCUGCCCCUGACUCUGGGAUAAGCGCUGGAAACGGCGUCUAAUACUGGAUAUGUGACGUGACCGCAUGGUCUGCGUUUGGAAAGAUUUUUCGGUUGGGGAUGGGCUCGCGGCCUAUCAGCUUGUUGGUGAGGUAAUGGCUCACCAAGGCGUCGACGGGUAGCCGGCCUGAGAGGGUGACCGGCCACACUGGGACUGAGACACGGCCCAGACGCCUACGGGAGGCAGCAGUGGGGAAUAUUGCACAAUGGGCGCAAGCCUGAUGCAGCAACGCCGCGUGAGGGAUGACGGCCUUCGGGUUGUAAACCUCUUUUAGCAGGGAAGAAGCGAAAGUGACGGUACCUGCAGAAAAAGCGCCGGCUAACUACGUG